GAAAAUGCACCGUUUGCAGUACCGGCCUGUCACGCCGGGGGUCGCGGGUUCGAGUCCCGUCCACUCCGCCA
rnacentral:tRNA from 2 species